rnacentral:lncRNA from 1 species
GAACUUAUGACCAUAUGUUUAUUUUGAGGCCAAUAUCAGCGUUUCUUUAAGCUUUUAAAGAUAGAUAUCAUCAACAUCUGGCUGAUCUUGGUUUAUUUUGUGUUUGAUAUGUGUGCGGUGUAAUAAUGUGCUCAAAUACACCUGCACACACACAGACACACAGAAUGGGUUGGAUCUUGGCUGACUGAUGCCAUACUGUUGGAGUAUUUAGGUGGGAUCCUCCUUUAAUUUUGUUUGUAUUUUGUGUGUGUGUGUGUGUGUGUGUGUGUGUGUGUGUGUGUGUGUGUGUGUGUGUGUGUGUCAGGGAGAGGAGAGUGAUUGGAGACGUCGUCUUCCUGAGAGGAAAAGUUUGAGCUUAUCUUAAAAACCACAUGGCCUCUCUCUCUUUACUCACUGUUGAAGCUGCCAUGACCAGAGGGAGUCAUGGGGGGGAUGGGGGGUAGGAGGGAGGACAAUGAAUCUGUGUAUGUGAGAAGAGAGAUAAAGAAGUCAGAUAGUGGGUCAGUAUUGUGUAAUCUUAGUCAUAGUGACUGCCACCAUGACAUCACCAGUGUGUAUAAGUAAUAAACUACUACUAAUAAAGUAAUAAUAUACAUCAGAGUGUUGGAGCCACAGAGAAGAUUUUUGUUUUAAAUUAAGAUUUCAAGAAUCAGGUUCCUGUUUCUUAACCUUAUUCUUAUGACCUAAAUCUCAUAACAUCGCAACCUUAUCUCUUAAAACAUGACUACUUUAACCUUGAAACAAAACCACAUAUUUUUGUAACAUAACGACUUUAUUCUUGAGAAAGCAACUUUAGUCUUCAAACAUAAGUUUAUUCUUAAAAAAUAACAGUUUUAUUCUCCAAGCACGACAAAUAUAACUAUUCUCGUGACAAGACUUAACUCUGGUAACAUAACAGCGUCAUUCUUGUAAUGUUAAUUUAUUUUGUAACAUAACUUUCCUUAAACUCAUAACAACUUUAUUCUUGAAACAUAGGGACUUUAUUAGAGUGACAUUUUUUUUUUUUCAAACAAAACGUCUUUAUUUUUGAAAUAGGAAAACUUAAUUUGCAAACAUACUGACUUCAAUCAUUCGCUCUAAUGGCCUAAUGGCUUUAUUCUCUUUACAUAACUAUGUUUUUGCAACAACUUUAUUGUCAAAAAGUAACUUUUUUUUUCUGGGAACUGAACAAUUCUAUUCUCCUAACUUAAAACCUUACUGUCAGUCCAUAACUUUAUUCUUAAAACACUGUUAUUUGUGAAACUUAAAACUUGUUGCAAAAUAUCUUUAACCUUGUAACAUAAUGACUUUGCUCUUGUUACAUAACUAUUUUGUUUUUGCUAAAUAGCACCUGUUAUCUACUUGUUGUCUUUUUUUUUUGCUACAUUCAGACUUUAUUCUCUAAAUCUUGAAAUGGAAUUUAUAUUCCAAAAUUAUUAAGUGAAUUUUACUGGCACUUUCAAAACUGAUUUAAAAGGUGCUCUUUGAAAAAAAAAAGUCAAAAACUAAAAAAAAAAGUGGUUAAUUAACAGCAGGAGAUAUUGGAAAUAGAUACAUAGAAAAGAAAUUAAAGAGAGGGAUUACGAAGAAAAUUGAGCAAUCAAUAAAUGAAAACUGCCAAUAAAUAAAGGUAAAUAAAGCAACAGUAAAGAAUAAUAAAAAUACUUGAUAUGGUUUGAUAGAAAUCUAAACAUCAAAAGAAACACCCAGUUCAUAAAUACUGAGCUGGUGAAACAAGAAAGAACAGCUUCAGCCGAAUAAACUUCAUGUCAUGUCAGGGUUUAUGUCAUUUCUAGAGCUCCGUCGUGCUCCCAGCAGCUCACGCUUGGCAUCAUACUUCUUUGGUGUAACUUCAGGCGACGCUAAAGAUGAAACAAAGAACAAGAAAAAGAGGAGAGAGAGAAAUGAAAGUGCGUAAAAUGAAAGAAAACAUCAGUGAGGCAGAGGAAAGCUGUUUAGUAGGUAAAAACUGAAAAGACUUGUCAGCACAAAUAAAGUGAGGAAGUGCGGAAAAAAAGGGGAAUACAUGCUCACAGAGAAAUGAAAAGGUCAGAAGUAAGAAAAGCAACCGGAGCUCAGAACGAAAAAAAGGUCAGAAUCAAAUAGACAGAGAAGAAAAGAGAGAAACGAGGAACCCAUAUGCUCAACAGUAUGGAGUGACACUGUGUGUGUGUGCGUGUGUGCGUGUGUGCGUGCGUGCGUGCGUGUGUGUGUCAGCAUGUUUCCCACCUUAAUGAGACUGUGGCUCAGCAGAGUAGGGGGGCGUCGACUCUGACUCCUCUGCCAGUCCCUCCUUAUUAAACCGGCAGAGAGAGAGAGAGAGAGCGAGGAACAGUAGAUAAAAAUAAGUUGGUUAUUCUGGUGUGAUAUCAACAAAGAGGUGGAAAAGACUUAAAUCAGGGAAAAUAAACGCUAACGAGGAGUAAGAGGUGCUGAAACAUUAAGAUUAGAGAUUUUUGAGCCAGUUUGGGGUCUUUUAAAGGAGUAGUAUCAUCAAUAUAAUCUAUAGAUUCUAAGGGUGGGAAUCACUUAUUGUCCACGAUACGAUAUUAUCACGAUAUUUGGGCCACGAUUUGAUAUUAUUGCGAUUUUUAACAUUUUGCAAUAUGAGUAUUGUGAUACCAUAUAUUGUGAUUUAUACAAUUUUUUUAACUGCUUAGCUCAUUUAGCAUUUGGCUUUACCUUAUGUUUGUCUUAUUUACGCUGUAUUUUAUUUUCAUGAAGCCCAUCUUGUAAACCUCAUGUGUCAGGUCCAUCUCAUUUGUGCUCUGCUUGCAUUCUUAAUGUCCCUCGCCAGGUGCUGUUUGUUGUACUAACUUUCUCCUGCUCUAUGAUGUCACCUCUGCUAACCUCACUGGACAAACAACAGAUUUUUUUUUUGGUCAAUGAGAAGAUACGAUAUAUCACCAGACAAAAUAUUGCAAUACUAUGCUGAAUUAAUUUUUCGUCCCAUCCCUUAUAGCACUGAUCACACAUCUAUUUCAGUUUUACGUAUACAUGAGUCAAAGUCAAAGGGAAGCCCUGCCAACAGAAGUUGUUUUUUCAUGCAGCAAUGACUCUAUAGCUUCCUGGUGUCUUUAGAUUUCACUCUGUCACUAAACUAAGCCUUUAAAUGUGAUAAAAGAUAGAUUGACAUUUAGUGUGAAGUCUGUCGAUAUUUGUUCAUAUUUCUCAGCCUUAGAUAUGAUUAUGACAUCAAACCUGUGCUCCCAUGCUUCGAUGAUUUUCCCAGGAGUUUCAAAAUAAAAUAGAUAGUGUCAGAAAUUAUCGAGGACUUUAAUUUUUCCCCCCAAAACUUUUCUAAAUUCACAAAUAUAGGAGAAAAUUAUGUUUAUCAGACUAUGGAAAGCAGCACCUAUUUAUUUUUGUCUCUUUCCUCUGUGGGCUUCAGUAGAAAACACUCAAAAGAAAAAAACAACCCCAGUGCCAAAGCUGAGACCAGCCUGACUAAACCAACUUAAUUUUAUUGUGACCAUGAGAUUUGAUAAGACAUCGCAGCAGGCGCACUUCCCAAGGACCUCACAGUGUUUCCUUGAGCCGAGAUAGUAUUGCUCAAAUAAAUUUCUAAGAGUAUCCUCAGCUGAAACAUUUAAGCAAAUUUUCAUGAGUACAGCCGCAGCUCAAUGCAGUUAAGAUCAUUUGGGGGUUACAGAGAUUGGUCUGCUCGCUGGCAGCCUGUUGAUGACUUUGUUUUGUUCUCUGUGGUCUCCAGGAGACAUAUGGUGCUAGUUCUGGUCUAGACUUGGUUCUCAGGUCCCAAAAGGGAUGUUGAGAGAGAGAGAGAGAGAGAGAGAGAGAGAGAGAGAGAGAGAGAGAGAGAGAGAGAGAGAGAUCACUCUGCUGUGAAAGGCUGUGAUUCCUGCUCUGAUUCUCUAAGUGUGUGAGAGGAGAAGCAGAUCUGUCGAGGUCCGUCCAUCAGUCAGACUCAGCUCUGCUGCAGCAGGACAUCGUCUGGACUCUGCAUGUGUAUUGCAUGUAAAAUGACCCGCAUGUGUUUUUGCACUCAAGUGUGGGCGAGAGUAUGUAUGAGCGGGGAGUGUAAUGUGAAUAUCAGAAGAGAAGCAGAGCGUGAGUGUGUAAUGUUGACAUCAGAGGUAUUGUGUACCCUGCUGCUACUCUCCUCCACUGCUGCAUUUAUUAAAACCAGCUCUGCAGGAAACCACACAACAUCUGGAGAAGGCAUCACACACACACUCACAUACACACAAAACACACACACGCACACAGCAGGUCUGUCACAUUCCUCACCAGAGGUACAGUGCAUAUGUAAAGUCCAUAAACCCGAGUGUCCACAUUCAUCUCUUCUUAAGCUUUUGUGUGUGUGUGUGUGUGUGUGUGUGUGUGUGUGUGUGUGUGUGUGUGUGUGUGUGUGUGUGUGUGUGUGUGUGUGUGUGUGUGCGCGCGCGCGCGCAUGUGUUUGUUUCCCUGUGAGCAGUAGCAGCAGUAGCUGUCUCACAGUGAUGCUGACCUCAGGUCAUUCAGAUGGGGGCAGGUUAGGAGCUGGUCUGUGUGUCCCAGAGGAGAGGACUACUGAUCUUGGAGUCAGAGAGGUUUCUUGAAGAGUUUCCGAAAACAGAUUUGAAUUGGACUCUUUAAUAUUAGGAGUUUCAGAUAGUUAUGAUUACUGGAGAUAGUCACUUAGGAUGGGGGUUAGCUCCAAAUAUCAGCUGCAUCUGGCCCUGGUCUGGCCACCCCAGAGAAAACAGUCUGGCUCUGCCCCUACUUGAACCUCAAUUUGAUCAGUAAGUUGUGUCUUGAUGAAUUUUCACUCUGUUUUAUGUUUGUCUUAAUUCUUUUCAAUGAAAAAUGUCAGGUCGUCUGGAUUUAUUUAUGCUUAAAUCACACCAACAUCCACCGAGCAAAGAGAGGCAAAAAGAAAGACUUAAAGAAAGAGGGAGAUCACAAAAGACAAAAUAUUUCCUACAGCAUAAGGUUAGAUUUUACAACUUUUCUACAACUUUAUACAACCAAAAAAAAAAAAAAAAACUGUCCUGGACACAACUUCAAAAUAAAAGCAUUGUGUGAAGACAAAGGGAAUCUCUCCACGGAAAGACCAGAUCAGACUUUUGCUUUGAAAGUCAUUCCAGACGUACAAACCAAAGUGUAGUUUUCAUGUAUGUUAACAUAGGUGAAGUGGGUUUAUCCAAUAUAGUCAGCAUGUACACAAAAAACUACCUUGCAUGCACACUUACUUUUGUUUAACACAGCAGAUGAUUCAGUGAAAAAAAUGUUCCUGAAAAGAAAAAAAAAAAAGGAGAACUGUAAAAACAAAGGCUGAAGUUUCGGGAGCUCCUCUGACAGUGUUUAACAGCAUGAAUAUACAGUAGGUCUGUUAUGUAAACUCCACUUCUAUACACAGAGAGUUUGUUAUUGUGGUUUAAUUUAAGAACCGAAUAAAUGUUUCAGUGGAUUUUGCCUCCAGGCAACAGGAACACAAACACUAAUGAACACCUACAAUGACUCAUUCAUUAAACUAAGGACAACACGCUGGAAACACACAGGACUUUCUGCCUGAGUGAAACUCAGUGAGAUCAGGUUUCCGCUGUUUGCAGAGAGUUUGUGUAUGUGUUUGUGUGUUUACUGGCAGUACUGAUGAAUUUUAGAUUAAAACCGCAGACAUCUCUUGUUCUCAUAGCCAAAUGAGAGCCAAUUACCAUGCUCAUCUAGCUGCAAUUUGUUGUGCCCUAACUUACUUUCCUAUGUGGGCCAGGUACUGGAUUCAAACCAUGAGAGGUGACAGCUUUAGCACUCAAGUGACCCUGUUACUGUCGUCCAAGUCAUCAUCUACUGGUGGCUGCAUCAAUGAAUCCUUGUUUUCCAAACUAAACGGAGGGGUGACACAGCUUCAGGUCUGUAACUACUCCAGACCAACGAGGUGUGAAAAUACCCCUUAGUAACAGAAGAACUGGCUGCCCCCUGAGGACGUCUGAGACUGUGAUGGAAGACAAGAAAGGGGAGAGGCGAAAAAAAAAAGAGGUUAGGAUGGACAGGAUGAAUAAAUGAGAGGAGAGAAAGGCAGUGAGGCAGGGAAGAGAGAAUAGGGAAGAGGAAAGAAGGAUGAGAGGAAGCAGGAAGGGAGUGAGGAGUUAUGAGAUGAGCGGAGGGUGGAGAUGCAUAAAUGUAAUAAAUAGGGUUAAAAGUGGGGAAAUG